GACGAACGCUGGCGGCGUGCUUAACACAUGCAAGUCGAACGGAAAGGCCCUGCUUUUGUGGGGUGCUCGAGUGGCGAACGGGUGAGUAACACGUGAGUAACCUGCCCUUGACUUUGGGAUAACUUCAGGAAACUGGGGCUAAUACCGGAUAGGAGCUCCUGCUGCAUGGUGGGGGUUGGAAAGUUUCGGCGGUUGGGGAUGGACUCGCGGCUUAUCAGCUUGUUGGUGGGGUAGUGGCUUACCAAGGCUUUGACGGGUAGCCGGCCUGAGAGGGUGACCGGCAAAAUGGGGACGGGGUUCCGGCCAGGACUCUUAGGGGGGGAAGAGGUGGGGAUAAUGCCCCAUGGGGCGGAGCCUGAAGCAGGAAACGCCGCGUGGGGAAGGAGGGCUUUCGGUUGGUAACCGGCUUUGGCCUGGAACGAGGCGUGGGUGCGGGAAUGGGGUAAGGAGGACCCGCCAACUUCCGU
rnacentral:rRNA from 1 species